ACACCAUAUUUCAGGUUUUUUUUUUUUCUGUAUCUUCCUUUGGAUCUGUGAAUAAGUAUCUCACUUCAUACUAAAGCCUCAAUAAACACUGAUUGACAGAAAGUCUUUGUGCUCAUUUAAAACUUCUCAGCUCCACAGAGUAUUUGUACCAUGCCCUUGUUUUAUGGAGUCCCCAGAUACUGAUGAGGGCAGGGUUUGAGUUUGAGGGCUGUUCAUUCUUCUGCCCGCCAACCCCCCACCCCGCCCCCAGCACAGAACUGCCAGUGUUAGGUGCUCAUUAAGUGUUUGUCAAAGGAUUAUAACUGUUGUUCCAAUUGCAGCAGUAAGUAAAUUUGAAGAAGCUCCCUGAUAUUGAGUGAAUUGUAUUCUCCACCCCCCAAAUUCGUAUGUUGAAGCUCUAACCUCCAAUGUGAUGGUAGUCCCAGCUACCAGAGAGGCUGAGGUGAGAAGAUUGCUUGAAGCCCUGGAGAUGAGGCUGCAGUGAGCCUUGAUUGUGCCACUGCACUCAACCUGGGCAACAGAGUGAGACCCUGUCUGUAAAUAAAUAUGUGUGUACAGACAUACAUAAGGUUCACAAUUCAAUUUAAAAAAGAGAAAGUGACCAUCUACAAGCCAGGAAGAGAGCCCCCACCAGAACCCUAUCAUGCUGGCACCCUGAUCUUGGAUUUCCAGCCUCCAGAACUGUGAGAAAAUCAGGUUCGCCUGUUUAAGUCACCCAGUCUUUGGUAUUUCGUUAUGGUGGCCUGAGCUAAGACAGGCCCUGUGUUCUCUGUGUAGCAAGAGGCAGGAAGCUAAGCACAAAGGUUGCCAGAUAGCAGGGACUGGCUGGCUGUUAGUGAGCCAGGGCCAGUGGCAUUUAAUUGCAGUCAUUCCCAUUCUUUGCUGAGCUUUGGUCAUAACUAUUUGUAGAGGACCCCUAGACUUUUUUUUUUUCUUCCAGGACAAAAGUGAUCCAAAACAUACUGUCUUCAGUUUUUGAGCAUUGGACUACCAAACAGGAACAUUUAAGGAAAACAAAAUGUUGCUGUUGUAAAGCCUUGAUGGUGGGAAGUUAUGUAGUGAAUUCUCAAUUUCUUCUUCCUGCAUCUUGUCUUAAAAAAAAAAAAAAACUUUUAAAGUUUUUGUUUGUUCAUCAUUCAUUUGGUAAACUUCCUUUACUUCUGCAAUUUCCCUAAUUGUAAUAUUAACAUAUAUCUAAAAAGAAUACAAUGGUUAUGUAAACCUCCUAGCACUUAAUAGGCACUCAAGACAAUAUGACUUA
rnacentral:lncRNA from 1 species